rnacentral:misc_RNA from 1 species
GAUGAAGAACGUAGUGAAAUGCGAUACUUGGUGUGAAUUGCAGAAUCCCGUGAACCAUCGAGUCUUUGAACGCAAGUUGCGCCCGAAGCCAUUAGGCCGAGGGCACGCCUGCCUGGGCGUCACACGUCGUUGCCCCCCAUCUACUCCUUCGGGAUUGCGGGGGGCGGAUGAUGGCCUCCCGUGCGCCUCGUCGCGCGGUUGGCAUAAAUGCCAAGUCCUCGGCGACGCACGCCACGACAAUCGGUGGUUGCGAAACCUCGGUUGCCCGUCGUGUGCGGUCGUCGCGCAUCGAGGGCUCGAAAAAAUUGUCGGGCUCCGGCUCGGCUUUCAACGCGACCCCAGGUCAGGCGGGGUUACCCGCUGAGUUUAAGCAUAUCAAUAAGCGGAGGA